rnacentral:rRNA from 1 species
GUGGGGAAUUUUGGACAAUGGGGGCAACCCUGAUCCAGCCAUGCCGCGUGCGGGAAGAAGGCCUUCGGGUUGUAAACCGCUUUUGUCAGGGAAGAAAUCCUUUGGGUUAAUACCUCGGAGGGAUGACGGUACCUGAAGAAUAAGCACCGGCUAACUACGUGCCAGCAGCCGCGGUAAUACGUAGGGUGCGAGCGUUAAUCGGAAUUACUGGGCGUAAAGCGUGCGCAGGCGGUUUUGUAAGAUCGCUGUGAAAUCCCCGGGCUCAACCUGGGAACUGCAUUGGUGACUGCAAGGCUGGAGUGCGGCAGAGGGGGAUGGAAUUCCGCGUGUAGCAGUGAAAUGCGUAGAUAUGCGGAGGAACACCGAUGGCGAAGGCAAUCCCCUGGGCCUGCACUGACGCUCAUGCGCGAAAGCGUGGGGAGCAAACAGGAUUAGAUACCCGUGUAGUCC